GACUGCUAUUUGGGUGAGGAUAAGCCAUGCGAGUUGAAUGGGAAACCUAAAAAUCCCAUGGCAAACUGCUCAGUAACACAUGAUCAACUUACCCUAUAGAGGAAAAUAACCUCGGGAAACUGAGGAUAAUGUUUCAUAGUUGAAUAGGCUUGGAAAAGUUUUUCAAUGAAAGGGAUAAGAAAAAUGGUUCUUAUUUGCCAUAGGAUAGGAUCGUGGUCGAUUAUGGUUGUUGGUGAGGUAACGGCUCACCAAGCCGAUAAUCGAUAGGGGCCGUGAGAGCGAGAGCCCCGAGAUGGGUACUGAGACAACGACCCAGGCCUUACGAGGCGCAGCAGGUGCGGAACCUCCGCAAUACACGAAAGUGUGACGGGGUUACCCAAAGUGUUCAUUAUUGAACUGUGGUAGGUGAGUAAUGUCCCCUACUAGAAAGGAGAGGGCAAGGCUGGUGCCAGCCGCCGCGGUAAAACCAGCUCUUCAAGUGGUCGGGAUGAUUAUUGGGCUUAAAGUGUCCGUAGCCGGUUUAGUAAGUUCCUGGUAAAAUCGGGUAGCUUAACUAUCCGUAUGCUAGGAAUACUGCUAUACUAGAGGGCGGGAGAGGUCUGAGGUACUAUAGGGGUAGGGGUGAAAUCCUAUAAUCCUUAUAGGACCACCAGUGGCGAAGGCGUCAGACUGGAACGCGCCUGACGGUGAGGGACGAAAGCCAGGGGAGCGAACCGGAUUAGAUACCCGGGUAGUCCUGGCCGUAAACGAUGCAUACUAGGUGAUGGUACGGCCAUGAGCCGUAUCAGUGCCGUAGGGAAACCGUUAAGUGUGCCGCCUGGGAAGUACGGUCGCAAGGCUAAAACUU
rnacentral:rRNA from 1 species